CAACCGGUCCUUUUCAGGGCCACUAGUACGAACAGAAACGAUUAAU
rfam:Daphnia magna strain Xinb3 scaffold01581, whole genome shotgun sequence.